GACGAACGCUUGCGGCGUGCUUAACACAUGCAAGUCGAACGGAAAGGCCCUGCUUUUGUGGGGUGCUCGAGUGGCGAACGGGUGAGUAACACGUGAGUAACCUGCCCUUGACUUUGGGAUAACUUCAGGAAACUGGGGCUAAUACCGGAUAGGAGCUCCUGCUGCAUGGUGGGGGUUGGAAAGUUUCGGCGGUUGGGGAUGGACUCGCGGCUUAUCAGCUUGUUGGUGGGGUAGUGGCUUACCAAGGCUUUGACGGGUAGCCGGCCUGAGAGGGUGACCGGCCACAUUGGGACUGAGAUACGGCCCAGACUCCUGCGGGAGGCAGCAGUGGGGAAUAUUGCACAAUGGGCGGAAGCCUGAUGCAGCAACGCCGCGUGCGGGAUGACGGCCUUCGGGUUGUAAACCGCUUUCGCCUGUGACGAAGCGUGAGUGACGGUAAUGGGUAAAGAAGCACCGGCUAACUACGUGCCAGCAGCCGCGGUGAUACGUAGGGUGCGAGCGUUGUCCGGAUUUAUUGGGCGUAAAGGGCUCGUAGGUGGUUGAUCGCGUCGGAAGUGUAAUCUUGGGGCUUAACCCUGAGCGUGCUUUCGAUACGGGUUGACUUGAGGAAGGUAGGGGAGAAUGGAUUUCCUGGUGGAGCGGUGGAAUGCGCAGAUAUCAGGAGGAACACCAGUGGCGAAGGCGGUUCUCUGGGCCUUUCCUGACGCUGAGGAGCGAAAGCGUGGGGAGCGAACAGGCUUAGAUACCCUGGUAGUCCACGCUGUAAACGGUGGGUACUAGGUGUGGGGUCCAUUCCACGGGUUCCGUGCCGUAGCUAACGCUUUAAGUACCCCGCCUGGGGAGUACGGCCGCAAGGCUAAAACUCAAAGGAAUUGACGGGGCCCCGCACAAGCGGCGGAGCAUGCGGAUUAAUUCGAUGCAACGCGUAGAACCUUACCUGGGUUUGACAUGGAUCGGGAGUGCUCAGAGAUGGGUGUGCCUCUUUUGGGGUCGGUUCACAGGUGGUGCAUGCCUGCCGUCAGCUCGUGUCGUGAGAUGUUGGGUUAAGUCCCGCAACGAGCGCAACCCUUGUUCACUGUUGCCAGCACGUUAUGGUGGGGACUCAGUGGAGACCGCCGGGGUCAACUCGGAGGAAGGUGGGGAUGACGUCAAGUCAUCAUGCCCCUUAUGUCCAGGGCUUCACGCAUGCUACAAUGGCUGGUACAGAGAGUGGCGAGCCUGUGAGGGUGAGCGAAUCUCGGAAAGCCGGUCUCGGUUCGGAUUGGGGUCUGCAACUCGACCUCAUGAAGUCGGAGUCGCUAGUAAUCGCAGAUCAGCAACGCUGCGGUGAAUACGUUCCCGGGGCU
rnacentral:rRNA from 1 species